AGAGUUUGAUCCUGGCUCAGGAUGAACGCUGGCGGCGUGCUUAACACAUGCAAGUCGAGCGAAGCACUCUGCUUUGAUUCUUUCGGGAUGAAGAGCAUUGUGACUGAGCGGCGGACGGGUGAGUAACGCGUGGGUAACCUGCCUCAUACAGGGGGAUAACAGUUAGAAAUGGCUGCUAAUACCGCAUAAGACCACAGCACCGCAUGGUGCAGGGGUAAAAACUCCGGUGGUAUGAGAUGGACUCGCGUCUGAUUAGCUAGUUGGUGGGGUAACGGCCUACCAAGGCGACGAUCAGUAGCCGACCUGAGAGGGUGACCGGCCACAUUGGGACUGAGACACGGCCCAAACUCCUACGGGAGGCAGCAGUGGGGAAUAUUGCACAAUGGGGGAAACCCUGAUGCAGCGACGCCGCGUGAAGGAAGAAGUAUCUCGGUAUGUAAACUUCUAUCAGCAGGGAAGAAAAUGACGGUACCUGACUAAGAAGCCCCGGCUAACUACGUGCCAGCAGCCGCGGUAAUACGUAGGGGGCAAGCGUUAUCCGGAUUUACUGGGUGUAAAGGGAGCGUAGACGGAUGGACAAGUCUGAUGUGAAAGGCUGGGGCUCAACCCCGGGACUGCAUUGGAAACUGCCCGUCUUGAGUGCCGGAGAGGUAAGCGGAAUUCCUAGUGUAGCGGUGAAAUGCGUAGAUAUUAGGAGGAACACCAGUGGCGAAGGCGGCUUACUGGACGGUAACUGACGUUGAGGCUCGAAAGCGUGGGGAGCAAACCAGGAUUAGAUACCCUGGUAGUCCACGCCGUAAACG
rnacentral:rRNA from 1 species